AUUGAACGCUGGCGGCAUGCCUUACACAUGCAAGUCGAACGGUAACAGGUUAAGCUGACGAGUGGCGACCGGGUGAGUAAUGUAUCGGAACGUGCCCAGUCGUGGGGGAUAACUGCUCGAAAGAGCAGCUAAUACCGCAUACGACCUGAGGGUGAAAGCGGGGGAUCGCAAGACCUCGCGCGAUUGGAGCGGCCGAUAUCAGAUUAGGUAGUUGGUGAGGUAAAGGCUCACCAAGCCGACGAUCUGUAGCUGGUCUGAGAGGACGACCAGCCACACUGGGGCUGGGACACGGCCCAGACUCCUACGGGAGGCAGCAGUGGGGAAUUUUGGACAAUGGGCGCAAGCCUGAUCCAGCCAUGCCGCGUGCGGGAAGAAGGCCUUCGGGUUGUAAACCGCUUUUGUCAGGGAAGAAAAGGUUCUGGCUAAUACCUGGGACUCAUGACGGUACCUGAAGAAUAAGCACCGGCUAACUACGUG
rnacentral:rRNA from 1 species